ensembl:lncRNA
UUAUUCGUCUGAAUACUUGGUGUAGUUUAUAGUUUACCCAGCGUUUAUUUUUUUAACCACAACAUCACUAAUCUGCAUAGAGCAGACCUAUUUCUGUAAUAACAUGCUGAAAGGGCAGGACAGUUUGACAGAGUGGCUGAGAUGCCUGACACCCAAACCAGCUGGCCAUAAUAAGACAUAACUCAAAUGAAGAAAUGAAAACUUUACACCUGCAGGGUGGAUUUCAACAAAACCAUCUUUAAUUCACUGGUACUGUUUAUAAAAUCAGCAAGUCCGCCGCAACGCCAACUUAAACAUAAAACUGUAGACAUUGAUUUGUUUUUGUGUUUGUGUGCUUUAUGAGUGUGCUGUAUGUAUGGAUUAUGUGUUUGUGUGUGUGUGUGUGUGUGAUUUGUGUGUGUGUGUGAAAAUGAGAGUGCUAGAUAAGGCAACAUGCAGUCAUCAGUUUCCAUUAGCCUCAAAGUAAUAAUACACACAUACCUGCUCUAUAGUACACACAUUGAUGCUGGACUGACCUGCUGAAUAUGGAACAGACACACACACACACACGCACACACACACACAGAUAUAUAUACACACAUACAUACACAUACGUACACACAUACACACACAGUACCAGCACAGGACAUGUUCUAGUCUCUAGUAACUUGCUGACACAGGGAUGGGUGGGACACACUGAGUGGCAGGGCAGAGGGACUCACAGGAGCAGCUGGCCAAAGAGAGCAAAACCUUGACUUUUUGUUGGAAUCAAAAAUCUAAUUUUAAAAAUACAUUUUCCAGCAUUGCAUGAUGCUCCUCUACCGGAAAUGCCUGUCUGACUAUUGCUUGUUAUUACUACGACAACGAGGUAUUUUCUCAUUUCACCGUUCUGAAUCGCUUCCUCCUUUACUUCUCUUUAACCCUACGAGUAGACAAGGGGAUGGUCUUCACCUGGAUGAAACCCUUGCUACACCAAAAUCACUGUAGCGUAUUGCGUAUAUCGAUAGCUUCAGUUGUUGUAUCGGGGUGGGUGCUUUUUUCUCACACUCUCAAACACACCCUCUUGCGCAUACAAUUAAUGUGUGUUGCUUUCUUUUUUACAUGUCUUAAGACAUAUUGCAUGCCCUGUUACACACAUGAACACACGCAUACCAAACCCUGUGUACACACAGUUCCUCAUCAUUGCACAUUACCUUUCAGGAGAGUGACAUGAACAGCACAUUACCGAACUGACCUGCUUGCAGACGAGUCUAACACACACACAAACGCACACACGCAUGCAAGCUUGCACAGACUCACAAAAACACACUUACAUGCACAAACAGACACGCACACAAGCACCCAAACUACAAUCAGAUGUGAUCUGUGGUUCUGUCACCCCGAAUAACGAUCACAGUUCUCUUAUCUGCCCCGUUUGUGUGUGUGCGUGUAUGCGCUUGUGCACAUGUGUAUGUGUUUGUGUGAACUGUGUGUAUGUGUGUAUGUGUGCUCAGGUCUCUUGAUAGGGUUUUAGGAGAACAGGGGAGACAAUGACACUAGGGGAAACAACAACAGCAAGGUGAGGAGCUACAUGGAGAGAGGGAGCCAAGAUGGCGGCUGUUAAGGACAACAGAGGGUUUGAUGGGUAUCGGGCGGAUAAAGGGGGAUCUGGAAGAGUCUUUAUCUGUUUGGUUCCAUAGUCACAAAAAAAUAAGUAGAACAUCUGGAAGUCUGGAACAACAGGCUGAGGGGACCAAUGGAGGGGCUGGGGAGUUGCUCUGGAAUGAUCAGUAGCCACCCUAAGGGAGAGACAGACAAGUUAGGUCAGGUUUCUGAGGACAACAUUCUUUGCAUAAAGAAAAUGGCUUUCGGGUUGGACACCUGAGAGGAAUAGAUGGCGUGGUGGCUCCUUUACUUUUUUUUAUCUAAUCAAGACUUUACUUCUCCUAAAGUGUAACAAUUACUUACUCUAACAUAUACACAAAUUAUGUAGUGAAGGAUGAGAACAAAAUAUCUCCCUCAACAUCUAUGCAAGGAGAUAAAGUUAAAAUGACUAAUAUAACCUAAUUUGAUCUAUCUUACUGACUUAACCUACUGGAAAACAUACUUAUCUAUUGCAGAUGUCACGGCAAGGGACACUAAUGCUAACUUCUCUCAACGGCAUACAUUACUAGUUCACAGAUGUUGAAUAGCAUUGGGCUUAAAAUGACAAAAUCCUUGCACCGAAGCACAUCCAUGAAUGCCUAAAGGAGCGCCUUUCAGACAUUGUUUUUAAAUUAAUGCCAGCAUUUUCCACAGAGGUCUUCCCCUCUCCACCAAUUUCGGAACAGUAAGAAUGAGUUUGCUCGAUUUUGGUUGGCCCUGACACUAAAUGCCUGAAGAAAGUAAUAGAAAAGACGAAACGUUGUCAUUUACCUCUCCUCCUUCUCCUCCCUGCUCCAUUCCACCAUAUUCCGCCUACAAAAAGAGAUGGUUUCCAUUAGAGUAAAGAAGGAUGAUGAACUGAGAGGUGGAAGGUCUCAAGCAGGGAACCAGGAUGAUGUUAUGAACAACCUUGCCUUAGAGCGGAAGACUUCUGUUGACUCACAGACACGGCGCCUGGGCUUUAGCUCAUUGGGUUAGUGUAAUUUUGCUGCGUGGAGAACCACCCAGGCUUCAAACUCAGUAGGUCACAUCAUCCCUUAUGUCAUGCUUAUGAAAGGGUUAUGACAGGGAAAAUAUGACACAGAGCCACUCAGUUCCUGUGUCUGGUACUGACGUGUGUAACAAAGCAUUGGUUAGCAUGGCAAUGUAAUGUUGUCCACCUUGAGACCUGAUGACGGUUAGCAUGGUACAUGAACAACCUCUGGAACUCUGCGUCAGACCAUAGGAAUUAAGGCAUCAAGCCCAUGCGAGGUGCUGGGGCACAUAUGCAGAUGGAUGUAUUGCGUAUUCCGCGCAUGCCCAACCCUGUUCCUGCAGAGAAUAACCUACCGCCUUGUAGUUCUCUCCAACCCUUGUUGUCUCUAACCUGAUUUAAUGUUUCAUCCAACAAAUCAUUAUAUUCAGUGCAGAAUUAGGUUUGGAAGGAAAACUUAAGGAUGAUAGUUUUUCAGGAAAAGGGUUGGUUCAGCCCAGGUCUAUGUAUUAGCAGAGAGACAUUUUAUGUUGUCUUAUUAUUUCACUAAGCUGAAUGUAAUCCCAGUUACAGCUGGUUAUUGAGAGGGUUAAACCUGAUUCACUGAAGGUCCUAAGAACCCAAUAGCACAGUGUUUUGAAUAUGCCCUUAGGAUCUAAAAGCUUGGCUGGAUCAUGCAGCAUUCCCUAGUCAGCUACCCAGCCAUAACCUAUUACCACUGACCCCACCCCCUUCCCUCUCCUGUCCAAUAGGCACCUCGUAUACAGGCUGAGGCUCCUCCUACCAACGGAACAUACAAGAAACAUACAGAACAACACAGCAAAACAACAAAGGGUUAGCAAUGCAACACAACAUUUACGAACCACUAUCACAGUUCCAACAUAUUCACACAUGAUAUUAACUAUUUUAGCCGAAACAAAAAAAAAAUUACCCACACAACAUCAACACUAACAGUACACACAAUAGCAUGGCAACACAGUAUUUUUUUUGCAUGAAAUGGAACAUGGCUGUUAUACACUAAAUAAAAUACAAACAAGAUUCAUUAAACAGCAAUAUCACCGCUCUGCAGUGAGGGUGAUUGGCUGCAAUCUGCCGUCUCUACACGACCUACACACCUCCAGGAUACGGAGGCGAGCAGCAAUGAUUGGGGCUGAUCCCUCUCACCCUCAUAAUGGACUAUUCAGAGCUCUCCCCUUUGGUAGAAGGUUGAGGUCUAACAGGAACAAAACCUCUCGCCUCAAGAAGAGUUGCUUUCCUAUAGCAGUAGGCCUCAGAAACAUGCCCCCGUAACCAAACUGACGUAGCCUGCUCCCCACAUACACACACAACACUCAACUGGAAGAGUGAAUAGUAUUAGGCCUACCAUCUAACCAAAUCUGCCUGAACAUUUAAUACACUGAUGAUUAGAUACAUUAUUAUUUCAUUGAAUGUAUUUAUUUUGGGGGGAGAAUUUUAGAGAAGUUGCCUGUCUCCAUUUCUGUCUGUGAUAGUCUUUUACGUCCAAGCUGAACAGCAAUAAACAGCUCCACCAUGUGUUUAAACACCAGUAUGGCAUCAGCACAGCACAGAUUUUUGACCCCAACUGAAGUUCAGACUUUUGUGCUUGCUGAGGCCGUAAACAUAAUGGUUACAUAACCAUAUUGCUACUCAACUCUAUUGCUUUUCUCAAGCUGUUGUAAUCAUGUCAAAACAGUUCCGUGUCAUGUGAUUGACUAUCUAAGGCUGAUUGAUAAUGUCAUUCCAUUGUGUCUAGUUACUACCUUACCAAUUUUUGUGGUAGUUGUAUGUUAUUCAUCUUGAGUUGUCAGUCACCAAUAAUGGCUCAGUCAUUAAUUCACCAGCUGUCCUGGUUUACUCACCGCCUGCCCGGUGUUUUCUAUGCCAGCCUGUGUGAGGUCAGCUCCAGCCGCAGUGGGGUCCGCGACAAUAUUCGCCUGGUCACGGUUAGCAACUGACACACAGAUUAUCAUUCAAUCAAUCAGUUGGCACAUCAUCAAUCGAUCAAAUCUCCAAGAAUGUGUGUGUGUGUGUUACCUCUGUUUACUCCUGCGUCCAUCCCCUCCUUUGUCUUUGAACCUAAGGACAGAAGACACAUCACAACAUGUCAACAGAUCAAUACAUUUCAAGAACAUUGCUGUUUAACGAAGACAUGUGGCAUAAUCCGUUUUGUGAUGUACUAUUUACACACAGCCUAGAACAAACCAAGUGUCCUAUAUAGAACAUGUUGCGUGUUAAUGAGUGCAGUAAUCUAUUGGGAUACAUUUCUAGUAUAAUUCAGUGGGGAGGAUUUUGGCCACUUACCAAGUGCAUAGCAGGUAGCUUUGUAGAAUUCAACAGCAUAUUGUAUUUAACACACUGUAAGUAACCUAAUGAAUGACUGUAUGCACUUCCUCUAUUCCCUUAAGAGUCUCUAAUGUACAUCCAUCUCUUUCUGUCUUUCUCCCUCAUUUCUCUCCUUCUCUCUCUGUCUCUGAUGUCAUUGCAGGAUAAAUUCAUAGGCUGAUUAAACAGUAGUUACGCAACCAGCUGGAUAGAGGAAGAGUGCGGGAUGGAGAGAAAAACGAGCCCGGAGGGAUGAUACGCAAGUAACUCCAGCACAAAACCAAUGCAUUGAACGAUCUCCUUUACAUAGAAACACUCAUAGUUCAUUAGAGAGAUCUCUCAAUUUCUCUCCCUAACUCUCUGUCUGCCCCCCCC